AUAGAUCUAAGUUUUCUUCUUCUUCUACCUCCUUCCCUUCGUCUGCUUCUAUUACAAUUGAUCAUAAAAAAUAUGAUCCAAUAGAUAGCGUAACCAAAUAUAUCAGUUCAACAAUUUCAUUGGAGAUUUCGCAAAAAUGAACUAUUGGAUUGGGUCUUCGAAAUUUUGAAGGAGAAUUUAAAUAAAACAUAGACGUAAAGGAGAUUGAGAAGAAGCAUUAGAAGGAAACUUGGGUUAUAUGGAUUAUUUUUUCCGCUACAAUCAAAACCGGAGAUGUUGAGAAAGGGACUACCGUUGAAUAGAUGAUUGAAGAAGUAGUGGGGGACAGUGAUCAUUUGAGGAGCUCAAUUAAUAUUUGUGUAGGUGUCCCAUGCACUAUCACUUUAACCUUGCAUUUCUGGUGUGGCUCCAACUUCUAUCUUUUGAUGUGGUGUUUACUCAGGGGGAGACAUGGAAAGACCGGAUCAUUUUGUAGGCGUGUAUAUAAUUGUACAAGAUGAUGCAACGCGGUGCAAGGUUAUCUGCUAAACUUACCUCUACAAAUCUAGCUGUUAUCCAACUGGAGCUUGGCAUGGUUGAUAUUUUUCUGUCUGUGCGGACUAGGAUGGCAGUUUGGCUAUCAUGGAGUUUGGAUUUUUUUGGAUCUUUGCACCGGUAUACAUAAUUGUACACACAAAUGUAAAUUAUUUUUUUUUAAAUUAAAAUUAUAUAGUCAUAUGUGUACUCUUUUUGUAGGUCUCGGAAAAUACUUUCAAAAUAUAUAAAGUUUGUCGAUUUUGGA